UGACUUCCGGUGGGUCUUUCGGUCUGCUAUCGACACGCUGAAUAGACUGCAGACCAAUGGCUAUAAAACUUUAUGCUGGGUCCCUUGAUGACCAAGUCCCAUGGCAGAGCCUCAGCUAUGGAAUGGGACUACUGACCUCCUGCCUUGUCUUUGGCACUUAAGGCAGGGCCUCAAGCUGCUCAGUUUGGAGCUAACAGUCUUGCUGCAGACUGACUGAAAGAGCAUGUGGAACAGCUGGCCUAACAAGUGCAAAGAAAUGAGAUGCACCAAGAAUUUUCCUGCUGGGCAGAUCUCGGAAUGAGUGGAGAGGUUCCUGACUCAGUCUAUCUGCUGAAAUAUGUCUGGGCUGCUGCUCGUCAUCAGUACACAUGUUUCAGCCAAGUCUGAUCAACCUGGUUGAAGCUGUGAAUGGAAAUCGUUCUCUACAGGAGCAUGUGGAACAGCUGGCCUGCAGGAAGCGGCUAACAAGUGCAAAGAAAUAAGACUGACCAAAAGUUUUCCUGCUGGGCAGAUCUCGGAAUGAGUGGAGAGGUUCCUGACUCAGUCUGUCUGCUCAAGUAUGUCUGGGCUGCUGCUCGUCAUCAAUACACCUCAUGUAUCAGCCUGGUUGAGGCUGUAAAUGGAAGUCGUUCAACAUUCUGUUAAACGUCCUGAUGGCAUCACGUUUGGCAUGUACAAGGAAUGAUCACAUAAGCCUUGAUGGAAAUUAAAAUCUGGUCUGUUUUAAUUAAAUGUAUUAAACUUUUUUUCAAUAAAACUGAGUACUGUGGCACUGUCCAGUUUUGUGAAGUGACUGUUUAAAUCAAAAUUAAAAUAAAGUCCUUUUGAAUAAA